UACAGAGGUCCCAAGCGUUGUUCGGAUUCAUUGGGCGUAAAGGGUGCGUAGGUGGGUCUGUAAGUCCGUGGUGAAAUCUCCGAGCUUAACUUGGAAACUGCCAUGGAUACUAUAGAUCUUGAAUACUGUGGAGGUUAGCGGAAUAUGUCAUGUAGCGGUGAAAUGCUUAGAUAUGACAUAGAACACCAAUUGCGAAGGCAGCUGGCUACACAAAUAUUGACACUGAUGCACGAAAGCGUGGGGAUCAAACAGG
rnacentral:rRNA from 1 species